rnacentral:rRNA from 1 species
GUAGGGAAUAUUGGGCAAUGGUCGGAAGACUGACCCAGCCAUGCCGCGUGCAGGAAGACGGCCCUCUGGGUUGUAAACUGCUUUUAUCUGGGAAGAAAAAGGCCAUGCGUGGCAAAUUGCCGGUACCAGAUGAAUAAGCACCGGCUAACUCCGUGCCAGCAGCCGCGGUAAUACGGAGGGUGCGAGCGUUGUCCGGAUUUAUUGGGUUUAAAGGGUGCGUAGGCGGCUGAUUAAGUCAGCGGUGAGAGACUUCGGCUUAACCGGAGCAGUGCCGUUGAUACUGGUUGGCUUGAGUGUCGGAGGGGUACAUGGAAGUGAUGGUGUAGCGGUGAAAUGCAUAGAUACCAUCAGGAACACCGAUAGCGAAGGCAUUGUACUGGCCGACAACUGACGCUGAUGCACGAAAGUGUGGGGAUCGAACAGGAUUAGAUACCCUUGUAGUCC